CAUUUUGCUUAGAGAAGAACCAUAUUGAUCUUGAAAACUGUAUAGUGUGUUGCUGAUCAUUUCAUUCUUCUCAAGGGAUCCUGAGGGAUGAGCCACACAAUUGAAGUUUUGGGCUUUCCAAAUAAAGUAGAAACAAUAAGCUUGAUCUUCUCUGAGUUUUGGGAAAAGAAAUCCCCUUCGCCCCAAAAAACUACAUUUUGAUGGAUGACCAUAGGAAAAAAUAUCAAGAUAAACUAGUGUGCAACUGAAGGCGGAGAAUCUAGGGGAAACUGGUGAAGAACAUAGGACCUCUCUCCCAGAACACAGCGGUGGUCCAAGGCCCGUGAGCCUGAGGAGUCCGGCAUACCCAGCAAAUAAUGGAGGGCAAGUCCUCCACCCUGCUUUCCUCCCUCAUUCCAAAUACCAGACACUGUAAUGACAGGGCUGCCGAAUUUAUCAAGAAAACAAUGUUGAUGAGUAGGAAGAGGAAAUAUAUUCUCAGCAGAGGACCUGAUGCCUGAGAAAACUGCAAUAAAUGAUUCAGCAGAAGGUCUCACUACUGUCAAGGGCCAGAGAGCCAAGCAUUGUCACCCUAGAGGAGAACUGGCCAGACCACUCCUUAAUAUUGGGCUGGGGACUAAGGAGCAGAAAAAUCAAAGUACUGUGCUAUGAUCCCUGGUCUCAGUGGGGCUCAUUGCCCCAUUAUGGGUAUGGCAAGGUGAUGGGACCAUCUAUGUCCUCAAAUCAGAAGUGACUUGCUUUAAAUGGAACUCAGUGCUUUCAAGAAGAGAGGAGCCGGGCCGGCUGAGUGGCGCAUUGGUUAGGAGUUGGCUUGAGACACCAGCUCUGAGCAGCAGGACCCCGG